rnacentral:tRNA from 1 species
GUAAUUAGCUCAGUUGGCGAGAGCAUCUGCCUUACAAGCAGGGGGUCGGGGGUUCAAGUCCCUCAUUACCC